rnacentral:rRNA from 1 species
UAGGGAGCAAGCGUUGUCCGGAAUUACUGGGCGUAAAGGGUGCGUAGGCGGCGCAGUUAGUCAGAAGUGAAAUAUCGGGGCUUAACUCCGGGACUGCUUCUGAUACUGCUGUGCUCGAGUGCAGGAGAGGUAAGUGGAAUUCCUAGUGUAGCGGUGAAAUGCGUAGAUAUUAGGAGGAACACCAGUGGCGAAGGCGACUUACUGGACUGUAACUGACGCUGAGGCACGAAAGCGUGGGUAGCAAA